CAGGGAGACAACAAAAUGUAAAUAUUAAUUUUGUCACCUUACGUCGAUCGGUAUCUCAUAUUCUUAUUUUUUAAGAAUUUCAGUUUCUAAGUUUUUUCUAGGUCACACCCAUCACUUUUUCCUGGGCCAUUAGCUCAGGUGGUUAGAGCGCACCCCUGAUAAGGGUGAGGUCCCUGGUUCAAGUCCAGGAUGGCCCAUAUCUCUAUGUUGGGGGUAUAGCUCAGUUGGUAGAGCGCCUGCUUUGCAAGCAGGAUGUCAGCGGUUCGAGUCCGCUUACCUCCACUGAAUACCACCUCUUACAUAUUUAAAGAGGGAAAUUGUUAUGAGUCGUGUCCUAAUUUGCUUUGAGCGAAUCUAGCUUCCUAUUUUAUUCAAUAAAUAAGAUGCUGGACUCAUUGAAUUUUUUUUCAUUGUUUUCAGAGAACCUUGACAACUGCAUAGAUUAUUUUUGAAGACAAUAAGCAUCUUUAAUGAUGCAGAUUUAUUAUUUGUGAGAAUGCAUUAAAUAGCAAUUUUAUUAAGCUGAUGCUUCAAUUAUUGAAGUUAUU
rnacentral:tRNA from 1 species